AUUGAACGCUGGCGGCAUGCCUUACACAUGCAAGUCGAACGGUAACAGGUCUUCGGAUGCUGACGAGUGGCGAACGGGUGAGUAAUACAUCGGAACGUGCCCAGACGUGGGGGAUAACGAGGCGAAAGCUUUGCUAAUACCGCAUACGAUCUAAGGAUGAAAGCAGGGGACCGCAAGGCCUUGCGCGUUUGGAGCGGCGGAUGGCAGAUUAGGUAGUUGGUGGGAUAAAAGCUUACCAAGCCGACGAUCUGUAGCUGGUCUGAGAGGACGACCAGCCACACUGGGACUGAGACACGGCCCAGACUCCUACGGGAGGCAGCAGUGGGGAAUUUUGGACAAUGGGCGAAAGCCUGAUCCAGCAAUGCCGCGUGCAGGAUGAAGGCCUUCGGGUUGUAAACUGCUUUUGUACGGAACGAAAAGGCUCUGGCUAAUACCUGGGGCACAUGACGGUACCGUAAGAAUAAGCACCGGCUAACUACGUG
rnacentral:rRNA from 1 species